rnacentral:rRNA from 2 species
AAUGGGUCAGCGACUUAUAUUCUGUAGCAAGGUUAACCGUAUAGGGGAGCCGCAGGGAAACCGAGUCUUAACUGGGCGUUAAGUUGCAGGGUAUAGACCCGAAACCCGGUGAUCUAGCCAUGGGCAGGUUGAAGGUUGGGUAACACUAACUGGAGGACCGAACCGACUAAUGUUGAAAAAUUAGCGGAUGACUUGUGGCUGGGGGUGAAAGGCCAAUCAAACCGGGAGAUAGCUGGUUCUCCCCGAAAGCU